GACGAACGCUGGCGGCGUGCUUAACACAUGCAAGUCGAACGGAAAGACCCUGCUUUUGUUGCGUGCUCGAGUGGCGAACGGGUGAGUAACACGUGAGUAACCUGCCCUUGACUGUGGGAUAACUUCAGGAAAAUGGGGCUAAUACCGGAGAGAAGCUCCUGCAGCAUGUGGGGGGUUGGAAAGUGACGGCGGUGGUGGCUGGUCUCGCUGCUUAUCAGCUGGUUGGUGGAGUAGUGGCUUACCAGGCCUUUGACGGGUAGCCGGCAUUGGAGGGUGAACGGCCACCUUGCGCCUGCGAUACGGCCCAGACUGCUACGGGCGGCAGUAGUGGGGAAUUUUGCACAAUGGCCGCAAGUCUGAUGCAGAAGCGCUCGGUGCGGGAUGCCGGCCUUCUGGUUGUAAACCGAUUUCGCCUGUGACGAAGAGUGAGUGACGGUAAUGGGUAAAGAAGCACCGGCUAACUACGUG
rnacentral:rRNA from 1 species